rnacentral:rRNA from 1 species
UUCAGCCUACGGGGCGCAGCAGUGGGGAAUAUUGCACAAUGGGGGAAACCCUGAUGCAGCGACGCCGCGUGAGCGAUGAAGUAUUUCGGUAUGUAAAUCUCUAUCAGCAGGGAAGAAGAUGACGGUACCUGACUAAGAAGCCCCGGCUAACUACGUGCCAGCAGCCGCGGUAAUACGUAGGGGGCAAGCGUUAUCCGGAUUUACUGGGUGUAAAGGGAGCGUAGACGGCUUGGCAAGCCAGAUGUGACAGGCUGGGGCUCAACCCCAGGACUGCAUUUGGAACUGUCAUGCUAGAGUGUCGGAGG